AUACGGAGGGUGUAAGCGUUAUCCGGAUUUAUUGGGUUUCAAGGGUGCGCAGGCGGACCUGUCAGUCAGUGGUGAAAUCCCGGGGCUCAACCCCGGAACUGCCAUUGAUACUACAGGUCUUGAAUACGGUUGAAGUAGGCGGAAUGUAGCAUGUAGCGGUGAAAUGCAUAGAUAUGCUACAGAACACCGAUCGCGAAGGCAGCUUACUAAGCCGAUAUUGACGCUCAGGCACGAAAGCGUGGGUAGCGAACAGGAUUAGAAACCCCAGUAGUCC
rnacentral:rRNA from 1 species